UUCAACCCAACAGUUAUUUGUACCGAGAGACCCGUUCGAUGUCAAUCACCACAUGAUAAUCUUUAGAUCUAACGGAAAGGAUUUGCUUCAUCUUUGGUUGAUAAAGACAUUUCAGUGUAGAGGUGUGCAGGCGAUCCGAAGGAGGCGUGUUCCCCUGUUUGAAUACCCACCGCACGGUCAGUCAGCAGGAGCCAUUAGACUUCAAUUUCUGUCCGUAGAUUUUGGAUGUUUUAAUCGGUCACCGUACACGCGGUGAGAUGUAGGACUGUGACCAUUCAACUUAUGUGGGGCCCACAAGGAAGUUGCGUG
rnacentral:lncRNA from 1 species